AUUAUCUUCAAACUGUGUAGGUUUAAUAUAAAUCUGUGGACUUUGUGUUACAAAAAGUACCCAAAUCCUUUAAUCCUGAACCCUUACGUUCUCUUAAAUUAUCUUCGGUCAUCAAUCCAGCCUCAUGUCAAAUCUACACAGUCCUCUCUUUUAGGACAUGUACAUGCUUCCUGAAGGCACUUAAAAGUCAAAGCUACGUAUAUGACUAAAAAAGCACUAACAAACUUUUCUUUUGUUCUGACCCCGGUGGGCACAACCAGUACUGCACAUUGAAAGAGUUGCAACAACUUGCGAUAAGCCAUUUUGUGUCCUAAAACCGCACCGUCAAACACAUGGUGAGAGACUAUAGUUUGCCCAUUUGGAGCAAGUUCGACAUUUUAGUCGACUACUGACCAGCAAUGUACAUGCACAGUGACUCACUCACAGGAACGACUCGUUUGAAAAUCUUGUCAACUAUCGAGAAUUCACUCUAUUGCCUUCCCCAUUUUUCACUGCAGUGUCACUGGUUCCCUUCUGCGCUUUACACACGCUAGAAACCAUAGUCAUGAGGUCAACCAGCCUAGGUUUGGGUCAAAAUACGCACAAAGUGCAAACUCGAACUUGCUCUAGGCAUGUAUAUUAUAUGAAUUACUCAGGAUCGGAUUCAAACCCAAGACCUUUGCAAUUCUAGGGCAUCUGGAGGUUGCUAUAACAAAAGCUUGCACUAAUCAUGUGACAAAGCAAGAGUCUCUAUAGUUUAAGGAAUUAAACUUGUUACUAAGCAAGUCAUUGUGCCAGACAUUAUUUAAAUUUAACUCGCAAAUUGCUUAUUCUCUGAGGUAAAAGUAGCGCGAAUAAUCAGGAAAUAUUUCUAAGGCACUUCACAUUAUUAUUACACUUAGAAAAGAUUAUAAAACCCUGUCUGUACUGAUCACAAAAACACAUCUACCCAAUUUACGAUCUACAUCCAUGAUAAAAACAUCAACUAUAUUACUAAACCACAUUGCGAACCAACUGGGUAAAUUGGAAUUCAUUAAAAAUACCUAUUUAGAAUUUUUAGUUUCUGGUCAAAUCGGACAAAAGUUUGACCAAGCAUCUAUAAAUUGAACACAUGAUUUAACUGGCAAAAUUCUCUGUUACUAAUAGCGAUUUUACAAUGUACCUUAGAUGUAUGCUACAUGAUUUUUGUGUUCUCCUUCCCACUGAAAUGGAAAAUCUUGAAGCAUAUGAGAAACUAUUGAAGGUGCACCAAGUCCAAGACCAUGGGCAACAGAUGGCAUUGCCUCCAUGCAUUUCUAAGGCUGAUACCGAGCUAUAUGCCAAACUUCAUAUGUAUGUCUAUUCUUGCAAUAAGUUUGUGCAAUAUGACACAUCUUUUUGUGAAAGGAUAAGUCUUUACACGUUUACAAAUAAUUUUGAGAUUUACUACUAUAGAACUCAAACCUGCGACUGCCGGUUUAACGUGCCUGCACAAUGCCAAUUCUGAGCUUAUUGUUUCUGCUUAGCAAGAUUUUGUUGUGCUAAGCAACAAUAUGAAAGGACGGGUUUAGAAUAUUUCUUUUAAUAAUUACAAAAUAAUCCCUAUGUGUGUACAAACUCAAUGGAGCAAUGCUACUUCUUUUUUUUUUUUACUAUUUACACAUUCACACCAAAAAAAAAAAAAAAAGAGGA